rnacentral:lncRNA from 1 species
GUCGGCUGCUUGGGAAGGUAUUGGGAACAGCUUAUGUUUUUCUUUCACAAAAAAGCAGCAGGCACCACAGAGAGAGACGGCUGUCUAGUUUUUUGUUGGGCACAGAUCUUGCUUCUCUGAACCGGGAGAGAGGUGUUUGCCCCUCGCUGCGGGGGCCCAGCACAGGUGGUUCCUGCUGGCUGUUGUCCUUGGUCACAUCGUCCUUGGAGUUGUAGGAAUCCCUCCCAGACUGUGGGAUAGGCUGACAAUCUUGGAUAUUAUUGUAGUGGUGAAUGUUUUCUCUUUAAGGGAUUUCAGUGGGAAAUUUAGAGGAACGUAGAGGAGGCUGUUGGGUAUUUUACCCUGCGUGCUUCCUUUAGAGAUUGUUCUGAGCUGUGUACUUUGUAAUCCUUGGGCCCGGGAUUCUUAUCAUGUUCUUUUCACUGGUUUUGGUUAAUGUGUUUGUUCUGAAGACAGUAGCCUGGGGGAAUGAGACAUCUCCUUAAGGCGCCGCUUGACUGACAGACACCCUUAAUGUAUGUAAUUCAUGGAAAACUACAGUCCCCACCUCACCCCCCUAAAAAAGCAAAACAUCUGAGUUAGGGGGUGUGUCAGAUUGAAAUGGUUGAAGAGUGAAUGGUGGCUGGAAGGUGAGCAGUUAGAAGUGAUUGCAAAUUCCUUUCCAGUAUAUUGUCAAGAAGGAUAGGAUGGUGGCCUGACACCCAGCUCUGCUAUUUAUUCUGUUAUCUCUUACAGGUUAGUCUCCCUCUUUGAGUCUUAGUUUCUUGUCUGUAAAAUAAGGGUGAUAUUACCGGUCCUCCCUGCUUGUCAGUUUUUGUGAAGGCAGUUCAAAAUAAAGUAUGUCAACAUAGUUCCUAAACCCCACAGUCUCCCAAAAGUGAGUGAGUUGGUAAUCAGUAGAGUGUCCAGUGUAAUACAAGGCCAGGGCCGCUAGAAAUGCCGUUCAAAGCAGACCGCAUCUACAAAAUACCUUCACAGUAACAGCUAGAUUAGUGUUUGAUUAAAUAAUUUAAUUAAAUAAUAAUAAUUAAUAAUAGCCUAGCCAAGUUGACACAUAAAACUAACCCUCAUACCCCAGAAAGUCUUUGCUCAAAUAUUAUGUUUUCCUAACAUUUAAAAUUGCAGUCCUACACACGUGUACAUCUUCCCUAAUAUUCUCUCUUCCCGUUCCCCUAGCCUGCUUUCCUUUAGCAUUUAUUAUCUUUGAGCCAUCCCUGUAUUUCUUAUCUCUAUCUUUAUUGUCUUUUUGCCUUCUCUGGAAUGUUAGCUCCACGUGGGCGGGGCAUUUUUGUCAAUGUUGUGAACCGAUGAAUCCUCAGCACCCAGCACAGCAUCUAGCACACAGUGGGCUCCUAAGAAACCUUUGCAAAUCACCGAAUGAAGCAUUAAUGUGAGCACUCAGUAAAUAUUUUUUCAAAUGAAUUUAGAGCUGGAGUUCAUCAUGAGAUAUUCCUGAACAGCCUCAGUAGGAGAGAAGUAGGAAAAGGGUAGAAGCAUGGCAGAUUAUAGGAAAAAAGAGAAAAUUUUCAGAGUUUGACAUCUAAGAAGUCGAAGAUUUAGUGAAGAAGGAGCACAGACUUGGGUGUUAAGUUCCCUUUACCCCUUAGCUGUGUAACUUUGGACAGGUUGUCUAAUCUCCUUGAACCUCAGUUUCUUCGUCUGUAAACUGGAAAUAGUAAUACUUAUCAUGUAGGGUUGUACCAGUGGUGACAAGUUGAUGCGUUUAAUGGGCUUAGCAUAGGACCUGGCCCACAGUGAGUGUUUAUUAAGAGGUGUCUGUUGCCAUCACCACCAUCAUCAUCAUCAUUAUUCAAUAUCAAAGUGGGGAAAUUUAUAAGAAAUCAUUGAAGUGUACUAAAAGUAAAAUUUUGGGAUUUCAGUCUAGCCUGUGAAGUUGGGAUGUUAAAAAUCUGAAACAAUGUUAACACACAAGUUUGGUUUGUACAGAGUGUCAGGGCAUAGUCACUUUUGUGCCAGGUCCUUUUAUUUUGUUUCAAAACAGAAUGAAAAUCUUUUCAGCAUAUAUAGCCCAUAAAACACAGUAAUUGACAUCAAAUCCUUCAGUUUGCCCCAAGCUGCCACUUAAAGUGCAGAGUUAGUUGGUUCCAGGUCAGAGGUGCCAUUCAUUUAUUUUCAACUGAUACAUGAGACAAAAAGUGCAGUCUUCACUGCUGAUGUUCUGCUCACCAGGAUUCUUUUGUUAUCUCCUGAGGUUGUUGCUUUGGACAACAAGAGAGAUGUUAGGUUCCAGCAAAGCUCCAUAAAGACACUGACUCAACUCCACCAUAAGUAUAACCUGUCACCAUAAGUAAAACUGAAAGGAUACACCUUAUCACCAUACUAUAUAUAUAUACUGUAUACUAUAGUAUAUACCUUAUCACCAUAAGUAUAGCUGAAAGGUUUCCUGAAAGAUCCAAAGGAAUAUACACUCACAGAACCCUCGAUAUGUCGCGUUGCUUGCAUAUCAAUAUCAUUUCUGGUGUUCUAACAGAACUUUUAGGAUUGGUCCCCUCUGAUAAAUGGUAAUUUUCCUGAUAUGUGGGUUGCGUGUUUAUCUGAGAAAUGCUAAUUCUGGAAAAGUGUGAACCUGGUCAUUCUCCAUGGCAUUAUGCCCAGUUUUAACUUCUUGAGAGGAGACAUUUGUAGUUAGGAAGAAAAGUAGAUUUAAUGUAGAGGAAAGAUGAAGGCCGGAUGUUUGAGGUUUUUCUUCUGGUCUUUCUGUUUCCUGUAGUAUCUGAAUAUAGCUAGUUACAAUAUUUCAUGUCUAUUUAAGAAGUGGGCAGAUUGUGAAAAAAUAGCUGCAGUGUUCUGAGUUAUGAUCUUGUUUCUUGGUUUCUGUUUUGCUCUGUUGUUAUGAGAAAUAAAUGGGAGGGAGAGCCAUAGUUUAAGAAUGAUAGAUUCUUCCAGCAGUUCUUUUUUGACUCAAGGCCAUUUCCUCACAGAGGGCUGUGGAAUGUGUAGUAACAUUCUUCAGAGUGUCAUUCAAUUCAGGAUGGAUGGACUUUAGUAGAGAACAGCAGUCACUGUGAACUUACUUCAGGAUUACAAGAUAUUUUCUUACCUAAAUGUUAGAGAUGGAAUCAUGAAAGUACCACUGUUCUGUGCUCUGUUUCCCGAAUGGAAAAAAUACUGAUUUAAAUUGAAUUAGUCUUUGUUCUUCUGUGUAUUUAUUAGGCAUGCUUAUAAUAAAGAAUUAAAACAAUACUUUCAAAUUUAUUAUUUAUUUAUUUUUAUUUUUUUGAGGCAGAGUCUCACUUUGUCACCCAGGCUGGAGUGCAGUGGUACAAUCAUGGCU